CCCGCUGAACUUAAGCAUAUCAAUAAGCGGAGGAAAAGAAACUAACAAGGAUUCCCCUAGUAACUGCGAGUGAAGCGGGAAAAGCUCAAAUUUAAAAUCUGGCGGUCUUUUGGCUGUCCGAGUUGUAAUCUAGAGAAGUGUUAUCCGCGCUGGACCGUGCACAAGUCUCCUGGAACGGAGCGUCGUAGAGGGUGAGAAUCCCGUCUUUGGCACGGACACACCAGGGCUUUUGCGAUGCGCUCUCGAAGAGUCGAGUUGUUUGGGAAUGCAGCUCAAAAUGGGUGGUGAACUCCAUCUAAAGCUAAAUAUUGGCGAGAGACCGAUAGCGAACAAGUACCGUGAGGGAAAGAUGAAAAGCACUUUGGAAAGAGAGUGAAACAGUACGUGAAAUUGUUAAAAGGGAAACGAUUGAAGUCAGUCGCGUCUGCUUGGACUCAGCCUCGCCUCGGCUUGGCGUACUUCUCGGCCCGACGGGUCAGCAUCAAUUUCGCCUCUCGGAUAAUGGCGAGGGAAAAGUGACACCUUUACGGUGUGUUAUAGUCUCUCGUCGCAUGCGAGGGUCGGGAUUGAGGAACUCAGCACGCGCCCUCGGGCGUCGGGGCUUUCGUCCACGAUACGUGCUUAGGAUGUUGGCGUAAUGGCUUUAAACGACCCGUCUUGAAACACGG
rnacentral:rRNA from 1 species